GAUGAACGCUGGCGGCGUGCUUAACACAUGCAAGUCGAACGGGAAAUAUUUCAUUGAGACUUCGGUGGAUUUGAUUUAUUUCUAGUGGCGGACGGGUGAGUAACGCGUGGGUAACCUGCCUUAUACAGGGGGAUAACAGUCAGAAAUGGCUGCUAAUACCGCAUAAGCGCACAGAGCUGCAUGGCUCAGUGUGAACAACUCCGGUGGUAUAAGAUGGACCCGCGUUGGAUUAGCUAGUUGGUGGGGUAACGGCCCACCAAGGCGACGAUCCAUAGCCGGCCUGAGAGGGUGAACGGCCACAGUUGGACUGAGACACGGCCCAGACUCCUACGGGAUGCAGCAGUGGGUAAUAUUGCACAAUGGGGGAAACCCUGAUGCAGCGACGCCGCGUGAAGGAAGAAGUAUCUCGGGAUGUAAACUUCUAUCAGCAGGGAAGAUAGUGACGGUACCUGAAUAAGAAGCCCCGGCUAACUACGUG
rnacentral:rRNA from 1 species